rnacentral:rRNA from 1 species
AUUGAACGCUGGCGGCAGGCCUAACACAUGCAAGUCGAACGAGUGGCGGACGGGUGAGUAAUGUCUGGGAAACUGCCCGAUGGAGGGGGAUAACUACUGGAAACGGUAGCUAAUACCGCAUACCAUCGGAUGUGCCCAGAUGGGAUUAGCUAGUAGGUGGGGUAACGGCUCACCUAGGCGACGAUCCCUAGAUGGUCUGAGAGGAUGACCAGAGACACGGGAACGGAGACACGGUGAAGGCAACAACGGGAGGAAGAAGUGGGGAAUAGUGAAAAAUGGGCGAAAGAGUGAUAAAGCCAUGCCGCGUGUAUGAAGAAGGACUGCGGGUGGUAAAGUACUUUCAGCGAGGAGGCGUUACUGGCAGAAGAAGCACGGGCUAACUCCGUGCCAGCAGCCGCGGUAAUUC